rnacentral:rRNA from 1 species
UGGCGCGAUUAGAUGAGCCCACGUCGGAUUAGCUAGUUGGCGGGGUAAAGGCCCACCAAGGCGACGAUCCGUAGCUGGUCUGAGAGGAUGAUCAGCCACACUGGAACUGAGACACGGUCCAGACUCCUACGGGAGGCAGCAGUAGGGAAUAUUGGACAAUGGGCGCAAGCCUGAUCCAGCCAUGCCGCGUGAGUGAAGAAGGCCCUCGGGUUGUAAAGCUCUUUUGUCCGGAAAGAAAAGCGCCGGGUUAAUACCCUGGUGUCCUGACGGUACCGGAAGAAUAAGCACCGGCUAACUUCGUG